CCGACCUCAGAUCAGGCGGGACGACCCGCUGAGUUUAA
rnacentral:rRNA from 1 species